GACUCCGUGGCGCAACGGCAGCGCGUCUGACUGCAAAGCAGAAGGUUGCGUGUUCAAAUCACGUCGGGGUCA
rnacentral:tRNA from 1 species